rnacentral:tRNA from 2 species
GGAGAGAUGCCAGAGUGGUCGAUCGGGGCGGUCUCGAAAACCGUUGACCCGCAAGGGUCCCAGGGUUCGAAUCCCUGUCUCUCCG